AUACGUAGGUCCCGAACGUUGCGCGAAAUUACUGGGCGUAAAGGGUCCGUAGGCGGUCUGGUAAGUGGAAGGUGAAAGCCUGGGGCUCAACUCCAGAAUUGCCUUCCAAACUGCCGGACUUGAGGCAGGGAGUGGUCGGCGGAAUUCCCGGUGUAGGGGUGAAAUGCGUAGAUAUCGGGAGGAACACCAGUGGCGAAGGCGGCCGACUGGAACUGUCCUGACGCUGAGGGACGAAAGCCAGGGGAGCGAACCGGAUUAGAAACCCUAGUAGUCC
rnacentral:rRNA from 1 species